AAUUUCAAAUUUUUAUAUACUCAAAUAUUUUUCUUUCUUUUUAAAUCUGGACCUAGGUUUACAGAACCCUAAGUGUGUGUGUGUAUUUAUGUCUUUAAAGUAGACAUUUGUGUGAAAUCAGCACCAUUUCACUCUUCAGAGGACAUGUAAAACUUUGGAGGAAAAGUAGGAAACUUUUUGAAAAUCAACUUGAGUACCCAUUACAUAUUUUGAGUUUCUGUGUUACUCUAAAAAACAUCCUCAGUAAGUUAUUCAACAUAGGAAUCUGGAAGUUCUUACUCUUCACCUGUGUAUCACUAAAAUAUAAGGUUAAAGAAUUACGGAUGUAAAAUGUUGCUGGCUAUAAAAACAACUUGGCUGCAGUGGCUAGAUGCCAGCUGCCUAUUAAUCCAGGCCUGAAAAUCAGCACUGAAACAUGUACUACGCCACGAAAUCAGAAUCAAAUGUGCAGAGCCUGAUGUAUUCGCUAACUCCUCCAAGUGACUGAUCAGUGCCAAGGUCGAAUUAAUAAAUCUCCUUUGAUGUUAAUGACUGAGAAUGUUCCCAGGAAAGAACUAAGAGGUGACGGCCGGAUGUCACUUGGAAGUACCUAAAACAAACUUGAGAGCGAUUCCUAGCCUGUGUUUGAGUGGUACGGACCGACUGGACCCGUUUUGUAGAAGACCUUCUCCCCCACCUCCGUCUGCUGCCCUGAUCCACAGUUUAUUUUUAUCCAUUUUUAACUUGGAGCCAUCUCAAAAGCAAACUAAGAACCGAUUGCUCGUCCAAUCACUUCGAGAAGGCACAACCAGCUUUCGACGGAGCGCGGCCUGCAGUCAGCACCGGGCAGAAAUGCACGGGCUCGCCCUUUCCACCGGACACGCAGAAGGCAGCGCCGGCCGGGGCGCGACUCCGACCCACCAGGUUUCGGUUAGACCGCAACAGGAAGUUUUCUUUUCCCUUGCGGGAAGCAGCGCAACCAGAAAAAUAUGAACUCCGACUCCCUCGGGAGCACCCAAGGUGUUUUUUAGUGUUUUGAGAGAGAGACAGAGUGUGCGCAGGAGAGGGGCAGAGAGAGGAAGACACAGAAUCUGAAGCAGGCUCCAGACUCUGAGCUGUCAGCACAGAGCCUGACAUGGGGCUUUAACUCACGAACCUCAAGAUCAUGACCUGAGCCAAAGUCGGAUGCUUAAUCGACUGAGCCACCCAGGUGCCCCAGUUUUGAUUUUUUUUUUUUUAUCAAGGCAAAACCCUGAGAGAAAGAGGAAAGCCCCAACUACCCUACUACCCGCCUAUGAAAAUAUAUAUACAUCCUACUGCACUGUCACAGGAAUCCUGAAAUGCCAUCAUAAUACUUUAUCUUAAUAAAGCUUCACAUUUUAUUUUUUAAA